rnacentral:rRNA from 1 species
CCUACGGGAGGCAGCAGUGGGGAAUUUUCCGCAAUGGGCGAAAGCCUGACGGAGCAAUGCCGCGUGAAGGUAGAAGGCCUACGGGUCAUGAACUUCUUUUCCCGGAGAAGAAGCAAUGACGGUAUCCGGGGAAUAAGCAUCGGCUAACUCUGUGCCAGCAGCCGCGGUAAUACGUAGGUGGCAAGCGUUAUCCGGAUUUAUUGGGUGUAAAGGGCGUGUAGGCGGGAGCGCAAGUCAGAUGUGAAAACUCAGGGCUCAACCCUGAGCCUGCAUUUGAAACUGUGUUUCUUGAGUGCUGGAGAGGCAAUCGGAAUUCCGUGUGGAGCGGUGAAAUGCGUAGAUAUACGGAGGAACACCAGUGGCGAAGGCGGAUUGCUGGACAGUAACUGACGCUGAGGCGCGAAAGCGUGGGGAGCAAACAGGAUUAGAUACCCUUGUAGUC